AUGGCAUGGCAUGCCCCCCUCACUCCAGCCACACUUCCUCAGGCAUUCUGGUGUCUCCUAACAGUUCAUAAAAUCCAGAACCACAAGGCCCAGUACCACUGGUGUCUGCACAGUGUAUCUGUGUCCCUACACAGUGUAUCUGUGUCCAUACACAGUGUAUCUGUGUCCCUGCACAGUGUAUGUGUGUCCCUGCACAGUGUGUCUGUCCCUGCAAAGUGUAUCUGUGUCCCUGCACAGUGUAUCUGUGUCCCUGCACAGUGUAUGUGUCCCUGCACAGUGUAUCUGUGUCCCUGCACAGUGUAUCUGUGUCCCUGCACAGUGUAUGUGUGUCCCUGUACAGUGUGUCUGUGUCCCUGCACAGUGUGUCUGUGUCCCUGCAAAGUGUAUCUGUCCCUGCACAGUGUAUGUGUGUCCCUGCACAGUGUAUCUGUGUCCCUGCAAAGUGUAUCUGUCCCUGCACAGUGUGUCUGUGUCCCUACACAGCGUAUGUGUCCCUGCACAGUGUAUCUGUGUCCCUGCACAGUGUGUCUGUGUCCCUACACAGUGUAUGUGUGUCCCUGCACAGUGUAUCUGUCCCUGCACAGUGUCUGUGUCCCUGCACAGUGUAUCUGUGUCCCUGCACAGUGUAUCUGUCCCUGCACAGUGUCUGUGUCCCUGCACAGUGUGUCUGUCCCUGCACAGUGUCUGUGUCCCUGCACAGUGUAUCUGUGUCCCUGCAAAGUGUAUCUGUCCCUGCACAGUGUGUCUGUGUCCCUGCACAGUGUAUCUGUCCCUGCACAGUGUAUCUGUCCCUGCAUAGUGUCUGUGUCUCUGCACAGUGUCUGUGUCCCUGCACAGUGUGUCUGUCCCUGCACAGUGUGUCUGUGUCCCUGCACCGUGCUUUUCCCGUGUUUUCAGAGAGGGCUCUACCAGGACAUGUCAUCAUCACCACGCAGCCUGCUCAUUUUUAAAUUUGAUAAACGUGGAAAUGCUAGAAGCAGCAAUAUGAUUGAGUGCCUAUCAUGGACCAGAACAUGGCAGGCUUCUUGGUAA
rnacentral:lncRNA from 1 species